rfam:Schistosoma mansoni, Puerto Rico, WGS project CABG01000000 data, contig: 0141
AUCCAGUUGACUUGUCCCAAAUAGGAUGAAACGCGCGUCCUGGAU